rnacentral:rRNA from 1 species
CGCAGCCGCGGUAAUUCCAGCUCCAAUAGCGUAUAUUAAAGUUGUUGCAGUUAAAAAGCUCGUAGUUGAAUUUCGGGGUCAGCAGGUCGGUCGUGCCACUGGUAUGAACUGGUCUCGCUGAUCCCUCCCUCUUGACGAACUGUGAUGCCAUUAAUUUGGUGUCGUAGGGAAUCAGGACUGUUACUUUGAAAAAAUUAGAGUGUUUAAAGCAGGCUUAAGCUUGAAUACAUUAGCAUGGAAUAAUGAAAUAGGACGUUUGAUCCUAUUUUGUUGGUUUCUAGGAUUGACGUAAUGAUUAAUAGGGAUAGUUGGGGGCAUUAGUAUUCAAUUGUCAGAGGUGAAAUUCUUGGAUUUAUUGAAGACUAACUACUGCGAAAGCAUUUGCCAAGGAUGUUUUCAUUAAUCAAGAACGAAAGUUAGGGGAUCGAAGACGAUCAGAUACCGUCGUAGUCUUAACCAUAAACUAUGCCGACUAGGGAUCGGAUGAUGUUAAUUUUUUAAUGACUCAUUCGGCGCCUUACG